CUCAACUUUGGCGCGCAACGUGUUGAAUGAAAUUUGAUCCUUGUAGACAGACUGACAUUAAUCGCGGCGACCUUUGAUCGGAGAACACUCCGUGCGCCGCCGCACGGCAGUUGAAGUUGUAGUCGAGUCUCCAUUGGCACGUUUCCUUUUGGUGAGGAUUUGAGAGAGUGAUGAAUUACGAGAGAAGGCUAAAAGCAGCGGCGAAGCUCAUACUUCUCCAUGAUUCUGAGUCCGACAACUCCCCGAAGUCCUGCCCGGACGUCGGAGUUACGGCGACUCUGAAGCCCUACCAAGUCGAAGGAGUUCUAUGGCUAAUUCGGCGAUAUCAUCUUGGCGUCAACGUUAUUCUUGGUGAUGAGAUGGGGCUGGGGAAGACAUUGCAAGCUAUUUCUUUUCUGAGUUACUUGAAGGUCCAUCAGAUAUCACCUGGCCCAUUUUUGGUAUUAUGUCCUUUGAGCGUUACAGAUGGUUGGGCAUCUGAGAUUGUCAGAUUUGCUCCGCAUCUAAAUGUUCUUCAGUAUGUUGGAGAUAAAGAAACUCGACGAAAUUCUCGCAGGCGCAUUUUUGAGCAUGCAACAUCACAAUCAGUGACUGAUGUCGUGUUCCCUUUUGAUGUUCUGUUGACAACGUAUGACAUAGCAUUGAUAGAUCAAGACUUCCUCUCUCAGAUAGCCUGGCAAUAUGCUGUCAUUGAUGAAGCACAGAGACUUAAAAACCCUUCAAGUGUUCUGUACAAUGUACUUAAAGAGCGUUUUCUUAUCCCGAGGCGGUUAUUGAUGACUGGAACUCCUAUUCAGAACAAUCUCAGUGAACUUUGGGCCUUAUUGCAUUUCUGCAUGCCUUCAGUGUUUGGAACACUGGAUCAGUUUAUUUCUACGUUCAAGGAAGCUGGAGAUCUUACUUCUGGUAAUGGAAAAAUUCAUGGAAAUGGGCAAUUUAAGAGUUUAAAGUAUAUACUAUCAGCCUUCCUUUUGAGAAGAACAAAAGCCAAGCUUAGUGAAUCUGGAGUUCUGUUGCUCCCACCACUUACUGAGAUAACAGUGAUGGUACCAUUGGUUAACCUUCAAAGAAAGGUCUAUAUGUCGAUAUUGAGGAAGGAGCUGCCUAAACUACUUGCACUUUCUUCUGGAUCCUCAAAUCACCAAUCUUUACAGAAUGUCGUGAUGCAACUUCGAAAAGCUUGUAGCCAUCCUUAUCUUUUUCCUGGUAUUGAGCCUGAACCUUAUGAAGAAGGCGAGCACCUGGUUCAGGCUAGCGGCAAGCUUGUGAUUCUAGAUCAAGUACUUCAGAAACUACAUGAGUCUGGACAUCGUGUGCUCUUAUUUGCUCAGAUGACCCAUACACUUGAUAUAUUACAGGACUUCUUGGAGUUGCGGAAUUUUUCCUAUGAGCGUCUUGAUGGAUCAAUUCGAGCCGAGGAGCGUUUUGCUGCAAUCAGGAGCUUCAGCUUGAACUGUAGUGGGAGUUCUCAAACAACCCGUAAUGAUGCAUUUGUUUUUUUGAUCUCAACAAGAGCCGGGGGAGUUGGUUUGAAUCUAGUAUCAGCUGAUACGGUUAUAUUCUAUGAACAAGAUUGGAAUCCACAGGUGGACAAGCAAGCUUUACAAAGGGCACAUCGAAUUGGUCAAAUAAAUCAUGUGUUGUCUAUAAACUUAGUUACAGCCCAAACUAUCGAAGAAGUUAUUAUGCGUAGGGCGGAAAGAAAGUUACAACUUAGCAAAAACGUUAUUGGUGAAGAUUAUAUAGAUGAGGAAACAGAAGAAAUUGCAGGGAAUGAAACUGGUGACUUGAGAUCGAUCAUAUUUGGGUUACGUAUUUUUGAUCAAGGUCAAAUGGACAAUGAAAAAUCAGGGGAGUUUGAGGCGUCAAAUGUCAGUGCAAUGGCUGAAAAAGUUGUUGCAGUACGCCAUAAAAAAGUAUCAAACAAGGAUGAUGCAAGCUUUUUGGUCAAUACAAUGACUUUAUCAAAUGGUUGUGAUCUUUCUAUUCGAGAAGGUACUACCUCGGUCAAUUUUGACCCAGGCCUUGAUGAGGCAUCGUAUCGUUCUUGGGUAGAGAAGUUCAAGGAAGCAUCCCAUUCUGGUGCUAACCAAAUCAUGGAGUUGGAAAACCGGAAAGCUUUAUCUAGAGAUAAGAGCCUAAAACUUGAGGCUGUAAAGAAGAAAGCAGAAGAAAAGAAACUGGCAAAAUGGGAAGCCCUUGGAUACCAUUCGUUAUCUGUUGAAGACCCAAUCUUGCCUCUUGAUAGUGAUCCAAUUUCGGAUUCUGGCUCUGUUCAUUUUGUCUAUGGGGACUGCACACAUCCGUCAUUGAAUUGUAUAUCUGAGCCUACAAUCAUAUUCAGUUGUGUUGACGAUUCUGGAAGCUGGGGGCAUGGCGGAAUGUUUGAUGCUCUGGCAAAGCUUUCUGAUAGCAUCCCUUCUGCCUAUGAACGAGCUUCUGAAUUUAGGGACCUACAUCUUGGUGAUCUUCAUCUCAUAAAACUCGAGGACAACAAACAAGAGAGUGAUAAAGCUCCUCAAUGGGUUGCUUUGGGUGUUGUACAAUCUUAUAAUCCGAGGCGGAAAGUCCCCAGAAGCAAGAUUUCUCUUCCAGAUUUGGAGAACUGCAUAUUAAAAGCAUCAUCUGCAGCGUCGCAACAUUCUGCUUCAAUCCACAUGCCGCGUAUUGGUUACCAAGACGGAUCAGAUCGCUCCGAGUGGUACACCGUGGAACGUCUUCUCCGAAAAUACGCCUCCAUCUACAGCAUUAAAAUCCAUGUGUACUACUACCGGAGGACAUCUUGAAACUUUCCAAACUUGGAUGGCCGUUCGUGGCAGAUGUUUGCAUGUAUAUAUACAUGUUCUAGAGUACCUUCCAAGAGAAACUAAGCCAAUGGAGCAAAAAGAAACAGUGCCUCCGACAUUGUCUGAGGACACACGCCGGUGGAUACAAGUGCAUGUGCUGACCGAUGCUUGGUUCGGUUGCAUGCUUGGCUUGACAACGAACCCUUUUUUAUACAUACCACACUGCUGCUAAACUAACCACACAACCCCUCGAACUCCAAAGUACAGAAAAAAUCAAACUUCCAUGCUUGGAAUCAAAGUUCAGUCCCAACAUAAACACUCGUCCAAACCAUGCUUAUUGUAUAUUGAAAUAGAUAAAACAUCCAUCAUAUUCAACAUUCGGGCCAAAGCUGACAAUAUCUACUAACGGUGAGUUUAGACGAUUACUAAUGGUAUUAGAGUUAGACAUUGGGUGAUGUGUCAGCAAUGACGUUAGGCCUCCAAAAGAGUGGAUUGUGAGAUCGCAUAUGGUUGAA